CAGCCUCUACACACACGCGCAUGCGAUGCUCUUGCUUACCAGGCAGCCGCGGGUUGUUCGACUCCGAUGCAUCCCGCUUCCCGCGAAAGAUCUUCGCAUAGAUAGGAAUGAAUGACCGAGUCAUUGGCCUCGCCCUACCACACGUCGACCCCUUUCCUCAUUGCCGACUCUAACCGGCGUUACUUUUGCCACAUAACCACUUCAAAGUGGACGCCGUAAGGCCACGUGCACCUCCGAGAUCGAGCUUUUAACUCCGUCAGCUCGCGAGGCUUGGAGUUCGAGAAGAAACAGAAUUGAUCCGAGCUCCCAUGAAUGGGAUUCGUUCACGUUCGGAAACAUAUUAUGUCCACGUGAAUCCAGAUCGAGCAGCGAAACGGCGAGGCGACACUAAUGUUUUUUCAGCCAUGCCUGCGAGUUGGUUAUAAUGUGCGGGCUGCAUUACAAAUCGUUCGAAUGCAUGCUGAAAAAUCAUAACCGAGGUACAGAAUUUGCCAGGAUGUACCGUCGCGACUGACUUUGUAGAAGGUCAAAAAAGUCGCCAAACCUAACUUGACGCGUCACCGCAAUUUCCAUUCAUUCUUUCGUUGCCGUCGUUUCUAUACGACGUAGUUGUUCAGCAAAAAACGUAUACAAUGAAAGUUAAAGUUACGAGUCACCAGCACCCCCCAAUCUCACCUGCCUGGAAUUGUUUACGUAUGAUCUGUGGGCCACCUCGGGAGCUUUCGGUCGUCCAGUGGUACCGGAAGUGAAUUGAAUAACCAUGCCGCUCUCGGGAGAGAUUUCACCCUGUUUAGCAC